rnacentral:lncRNA from 1 species
AGGCAAAAUAAAUUGAUUCUGAUUUAUCUUUUAUUUUGUCUAACAUUAGUACAUAAUGUCCUCCAAUUUGUACCAAAAUUCAAUAUGAAUUACAAAGAUUCUGGAUGUGCUCUAAUGUUCUUGAAAUAUGUGUUUUCAAUCUUAAUAAUUUAAGAUGAGCUACAAUGUAGAAGAUGCAUAUCUCAAAUUAUAAUCCUGAGCCAAUUCAUUUUAAUUGAUUUUGAUACUAUGAUCUUUAAAGGAGUAAAAGAAAGUUUUUAAGAGAGCUCUAAAAGAAAUUUCAAAGCCUUGAAUUUUAUGUAUCCUACACUGCAUAAAUUCAUGUUUUGGUAUAUAUGCCCCAAUACUUUUAUAUCAUGAAAGAACUUUGAAGUCAUUAAGAAUUAAGGAUUCAACAUAAUCUUAUGUUUUUCGAGUAUAUAAGUUUUGAUCUUUAUUUGUUCUUAUACUAUACUCUGAAAAUUAAUUAGAUUGCUCUCAUCUUGUUAUAUACUUAAUAUAUAUAUAUAUAUAUAAAGAUGUUGAAUUUUCAUUCGUGCCUUCUUUGAAUAUUAUUCUUGAUACUCCUUGAAAUAACUUGAAAAAGAUUCCAUCUACACUUGAUUUGAAAAAU